rnacentral:tRNA from 1 species
GCCUCGUUAGGUCAGUUGGUAGAGCGUCUGACUUUUAAUCUGAAUGUCAGGGGUUCGAGCCACAUACGAGGCU